rnacentral:rRNA from 1 species
UGCCAGCGGUCCGGCCGGGAACUCAAAGGAGACUGCCAGUGAUAAACUGGAGGAAGGUGGGGAUGACGUCAAGUCAUCAUGGCCCUUACGACCAGGGCUACACACGUGCUACAAUGGCGCAUACAAAGAGAAGCGACCUCGCGAGAGCAAGCGGACCUCAUAAAGUGCGUCGUAGUCCGGAUUGGAGUCUGCAACUCGACUCCAUGAAGUCGGAAUCGCUAGUAAUCGUGGAUCAGAAUGCCACGGUGAAUACGUUCCCGGGCCUUGUACACACCGCCCGUCACACCAUGGGAGUGGGUUGCAAAAGAAGUAGGUAGCUUAACCUUCGGGAGGGCGCUUACCACUUUGUGAUUCAUGACUGGGGUGAAGUCGUAACAAGGUAACCGUAGGGGAACCUGCGGUUGGAUCACCUCCUUACCUGAAAGAAGC